GAUGAACGCUGGCGGCGUGCCUAAUACAUGCAAGUCGAGCGAACAGACGAGGAGCUUGCUCCUCUGACGUUAGCGGCGGACGGGUGAGUAACACGUGGAUAACCUACCUAUAAGACUGGGAUAACUUCGGGAAACCGGAGCUAAUACCGGAUAAUAUAUUGAACCGCAUGGUUCAAUAGUGAAAGACGGUUUUGCUGUCACUUAUAGAUGGAUCCGCGCCGCAUUAGCUAGUUGGUAAGGUAACGGCUUACCAAGGCAACGAUGCGUAGCCGACCUGAGAGGGGAGAGCGGCCACAUGGAAGUGAGAACACGUGCCAGACACCUAGGGGAGGAAGAAGAGGGGAGUGGUCGACAAGGGCCGAAGGCUGGAGGAAGAAAGGCUGCAGGGUGAAGAAGGUUCUCAGAUUGGUAAAACCCGGUAAUUGGGAAAGAACAAAGUGUAAGUUACCAAUGAAGGUCUGGAGGCGACCAAAUAGAAAAACAGCGGCAAAUUAGGU
rnacentral:rRNA from 1 species